UUUAGGUUGCCUUCACCGGGAGUUAGUGAAGCUUUGCUCAUUAAAUUCUAUGCUGGCCCUCUCUGCUCUGGGAAUUGGAUUUCUAAUCUCAAGAACUGCUCCUUGUCCUUAUUGAUCUCCAAUAGCCAAAAUGGUGUUCAAUAAGUAUGGAUUGUCUUUGCAUGGUGAUGGUCUGCUUUUCCAAGUUUGCCAUAACAUCUCUUCAACAUUGAAUGGAUAGCAGAACUGAUUAUCCAGGUUCGCCCAUGUUUGAUCAUUGCGAGACAAUAUAAGUUUAGAGUUCCUGCAUUUCAAAGCCUGUGAUACUUGUCUUAUACAUUCACCUCGAAGCAUGGCUUUAAAAUGCUUCCCAGAUUGUUUAUUGAUUUCUUCC